CGCUGGUCCCCUCGCGACGACAGACCGUGAACCCCGUCAGGCCCGGAAGGGAGCAGCGGCAGCGGUGGACUCGGGCGCCGGGGUGUGGCUGGCGCUU
rnacentral:SRP_RNA from 1 species